rnacentral:rRNA from 1 species
AGAGUUUGAUCAUGGCUCAGGACGAACGCUGGCGGCGUGCCUAAUACAUGCAAGUCGAACGAGACUUUCCUCGGUGGUAACACCUUUGAUUGUCUAGUGGCGAACGGGUGAGUAACACGUGAGAAACCUGCCCUGAAGACGGGGAUAACAGAAGGAAACUUCUGCUAAUACCCGAUACCCCCACCGGAUCGCAUGGUCUGGUGAGGAAAUGGAUUCCGCUUCAGGAGGGUCUCGCGGCCUAUCAGCUUGUUGGUGAGGUAAUGGCUUACCAAGGCUUGGACGGGUAGCUGGUCUGAGAGGACGAUCAGCCACACUGGGACUGAGACACGGCCCAGACUCCUACGGGAGGCAGCAGUAAGGAAUAUUGCGCAAUGGGCGAAAGCCUGACGCAGCAACGCCGCGUGCGGGAUGAAGGCCCUCGGGUUGUAAACCGCUUUCAGUAGGGAAGAAAAUGACGGUACCUACAGAAGAAGCCCCGGCCAACUACGUGCCAGCAGCCGCGGUAAUAC